ACUUUCUUCACUCUCCUAGCGGGCUUCAAUGUUCAUCAACAAGUCUCAGAGAGGCUUUCUCUCUGCUGUUCACUGCUGCUCUAUCUUCUUGAACUCCUAACAAUGGUCUUUAUGGCACCUGGUGCCUCUGCUGCCCUAUCUGGAUCCCUGUGCAGUCCAAGAUGGCGUUACUCUUAUACGGGGGACCCUAGAGGAUGUCAUAUAUCACAGAAAACUCACUGCACUGCCGGCCCUUAGAGAAGAAAUUGAAAAUGCAUGUGCAGCAGUCUCAGUGACCAAGGUUACCUAAGCGGUUCGCCAUACUAGUAAAUGUGUGGGAGCUCAUGGCCACCACUUUGAGCACCUCUUGUAAUUGUAGAGGCCAGAGCAAUGUUUGGCUGUACAGAUGUGGCACACAUAUGCUCUCCAGCUGUGGAUGUGCAAGAGGGUAUAUAAUCCACCUGUGGGAUGUGGAGGAUCAG
rnacentral:lncRNA from 1 species